ensembl:snRNA U6 U6 spliceosomal RNA
GUGCUUAUUUCGGCAGCACAUGUACUAAAAUUGGAACAAUACAGAGAAGAUUAGCAUGACUCCUGCACAAAGAUGACACGCAAAUUUGUGAAUCAUUCCAUAUUUUU